GCCGCGCCUAGGCUGAUCCCCGAAAACCGGGCACCUUCCCCGGCUGGCGCGGCACCUUUUGAAGGG
rfam:Rhodanobacter sp. Soil772 contig_1, whole genome shotgun sequence.